UUGCUGGAAGAAAAAUCGCUGUCUCAGCUCUGCACUGGAGAAAAUGAAAUUUUUCACUCUGAUCUUGCUUCUGGGAUUGGUCACAUUGACUAUCGCAUCUGAAAGAUUCAGAGGUGGUAGAUUUCAACAAACAAGCACCUGUCCUGGCCAGGGCCCAUCUUCUGGGUCUAGCGGGCAGAGUAAAAAACAACCAAGAGGCGGAUCACAAGGAUCUGGCGAAGAAAGUGGAAAUUCUAUCUCAAGUGACGACACAUCACUGCAAGGGGAAACUGAGUAAUACCUUUUACUGCAAGUGCAUGGGCACGGGUA
rnacentral:lncRNA from 1 species